UAUAUUAUGCUUUUUUUUCUCCUACUUUUGUUAUAUAAAUGGAGAACAAUAAGAUAAAAAUUUCUUUAGCAAAACUUGGAAGUUCAAAUUUGGAUGUCUGAAGGCCUGGGUUGGGCCCGGCCUGAUCUGAUCUGUAGGCCUUAACAGGCUUUAUAUUGGGUCUUUUACAUAAGUAUACAACAAAUAAAAAGUAAUUACAAGAAAAGUGCAUCAACUAAAUAAUUACAAAGAGUGUAAUUAAGACUCAUAUUACAAAAAUAGUACAAUUCACAUUAAUAAAGAAACCUAAAAUCAAGGAUAACUAAUAAUUCAAAUUCAAAUUCAAAUCUUGUCUCUAACAACAAUUUCAAAUCCAUAUUUCAAAAUUCAAAUCAAAAUGAGA
rnacentral:lncRNA from 1 species